ensembl:miRNA gga-let-7d gga-let-7d
AUUGGGCUCCUAGGAAGAGGUAGUGGGUUGCAUAGUUUUAGGGCAGGGAUUUUGCUCACAAGGAGGUAACUAUACAACCUGCUGCCUUUCUUAGGGCUUUAUU